UACGUAGGGCGCAAGCGUUAUCCGGAAUUAUUGGGCGUAAAGAGCUCGUAGGCGGUUUGUCGCGUCUGCCGUGAAAGUCCGGGGCUCAACUCCGGAUCUGCGGUGGGUACGGGCAGACUAGAGUGAUGUAGGGGAGACUGGAAUUCCUGGUGUAGCGGUGAAAUGCGCAGAUAUCAGGAGGAACACCGGUGGCGAAGGCGGGUCUCUGGGCAAUUCCUGACGCUGAGGCGCGAAAGCGUGGGGAGCAAACGGG
rnacentral:rRNA from 1 species